CUAACCCCUCCAGGAUUUCUUAAAGUGGGGUUGGACUUCCUGGAUGUGAGGGCAGGAAAAUCCACAGAGGUUGUGCAGAAGCCAGAGAGCUGUUUUGUGGCAGCUGGUGCCGGUAGCAAUAGACAGAAGAAGAACCUGUGGGAAGAAGCAGAAAUUCUGUAUCUGCUGGGCCCCCUCCUUCUUCCCCAGUCUGCCUGGAUUUCAGAUUGGCCAUCAUGAUGGGAGGAAGACCAGAGGAGAAGUGACCUGACCAGCUGCUGGCCGUGACGAGGCUGCGAGGAAAGCUGAGGGGCCUCUGGGGAAGCAGAGGGCUGUUGAGUGACACACAAGGUCAAGGGGGUUCUGCCUAAAAGACCACAGUAAGCUUUCAGGACUCUGCCGGUUCCAGAGGCCGUCAAGCCAUUCAAGAGGACUGAUCAUCCCCACAGGAGCCCCGAGGGCUGGGGAGGACACCAGCUUCCCUGAGAAAGACCCCUGAAGAGCUGGGGCCAGAAGAUGGACCUCAAGUCUGGGCCUGAAACUCCACGGGACCAGCUCCACUUCCUGCCCAGAUCCACCUUCACUGCAUGAUGCCCAAAGUGUUUCCUCCGUUUCAUCGAGACGAGAGCUCCCAGAAGAACCCCGAAUUCCAACCAGGGCCAUUUGUAAGGAAGCCUGGCCCACGGCGAGCAGUACACAACUACCCACGCUCUCCUCGGACCUUUGCUGUCUGCCUCUCACUGCUGCCAGGAGCCAACACGUCAAGGUCCCAAGAAGCAGCAUUUGAAUGAAGACACGUAAGCCUCCAUGACGAUGUCCUGGGAGAAGCAGCCACGUGGGGGAGGAGCUGGGGCCCAGAACCACCACCUUCUCACGUUGCCACCUCCACCCGACCUCCAGCUCUCUCCCUGGGAGGUGACGUCAACCCCUGGACAGAUAAGAUGUUUCUAAAACGUACGCAGGCACAUAUUUUCCUGCAGCAGAACUGCACACAGUUGAAUUUUUCCGUGAUGAUUAAGGAUCUCGCUGUGCCCUGGGCGGCAAUUCCAAGAGCGAAGACUUCUCAUCGUUCGGCUCUGAGAUGCAGAUGUGGAAAGCCGCGCAGGCCCAACCAUGUGCAUCUAAGUCGGUGUUUGUUUUCAAUCAAUCUCUGGUAUCGGAGCCCUUCCCUGGGGUUUGCCUUCCACUUAUCAAAGCAGACUGGGAAGUCUGUCAGGGCUGGCGGUGCUCCCCGUGGAAGGUUGGCUUCUAGUGAAUCCAAGUUUUGUUUACUUCUCAUUUGGGAUGCACAUUCGACUUUCCCAAGCAGAGGAAAGUCAGGUCAAUGGCAGACACCCAAUUUCAGCUGAACCCAAGACCGGCCUGGACCUUUGUAAUCAGACCGAAGUCAGAACCCCUUACAGUCAUCUGUCUCCACAGAUCUACUUGUAACACUGAGCACUUGCUAAGGAAAAGGGAAGUACAGAGGUGGGAGGUGGGAAGGGAGCCCAUGUUGUUCUUAUUAAGCCCUUAGGAGGGUUUAGAGGGGAUCAGUCACAAAUUCUAGGGAAGGAGAAACACAUUUACUUUGGCCCCAGACAGUGAAGUUCAGAGGCGAGGGGACGUGGUCUGAAGCAGGGUGAGUGGCCGCUGUGCGUCCCACACCCGAUUAAGCUCAAUGACAGCGACCUCGGGCCCCCUGAACGCCACCCGACUUCACCAGACAGCAGACUGAUGAGUUAAGUGUAAAUGAGAAACAUGCGGAUUACGUUUCCCUGAGAAAAUAGAUCACUUGAAAAAUGAAGGGCCAAAGUGCUUGGGAAAAUGCAUUAUGGAUUUUGUCAAGGCCAGAAAGGAUGUCGACUACUUCAGAUAUUCUCUAAAUGCCAAAAGGGAGCAAGCAUUUAGAGGCAAGCGCUCUCCGGGGGUGCGUAGGGCAUCUGAUCCUGCAAACCUCCCGCUGGGGAACUUGACCAAGAAGAUGUGCAUCCGUGCGUCUUCAAAGGCCUGGAAAGUGGUUUUUGCGAACAGCUGAAAAGAAUACACACAGAUGAGACAAUGAUGCCGACCUUGGCCCAACAGGGGACUUGGAGCUGAACUCAGAGUCUUCGGUGAGACAGCCAUUCCCACUCCACUUGUUUUUUUCAUUUUCUGAGUUGAAAACUAUCAAAUGCAAGAAUCAAUGCAAAGGUUUGUUGUGUGAUUUUGGCAAUAAACAAACAA